rnacentral:rRNA from 1 species
GGGAACGUAUUCACCGUAGCAUUCUGAUCUACGAUUACUAGCGAUUCCGACUUCACGGAGUCGAGUUGCAGACUCCGAUCCGGACUACGACGUACUUUAUGAGGUCCGCUGGCUCUCGCGAGUUCGCUUCUCUUUGUAUACGCCAUUGUAGCACGUGUGUAGCCCUACUCGUAAGGGCCAUGAUGACUUGACGUCAUCCCCACCUUCCUCCGGUUUAUCACCGGCAGUCUCCUUUGAGUUCCCACCAUUACGUGCUGGCAACAAAGGAUAAGGGUUGCGCUCGUUGCGGGACUUAACCCAACAUUUCACAACACGAGCUGACGACAGCCAUGCAGCACCUGUCUCACAGUUC